AGUGAACGCUGGCGGUAGGCCUAACACAUGCAAGUCGAACGGCAGCACAGUAAGAGCUUGCUCUUACGGGUGGCGAGUGGCGGACGGGUGAGGAAUACAUCGGAAUCUACUUUUUCGUGGGGGAUAACGUAGGGAAACUUACGCUAAUACCGCAUACGACCUACGGGUGAAAGCAGGGGAUCUUCGGACCUUGCGCGAUUGAAUGAGCCGAUGUCGGAUUAGCUAGUUGGCGGGGUAAAGGCCCACCAAGGCGACGAUCCGUAGCUGGUCUGAGAGGAUGAUCAGCAACACUGGAACUGAGACACGGUCCAGACUCCUACGGGAGGCAGCAGUGGGGAAUAUUGGACAAGGGGCGCAAGCCUGAUCCAGACAUACCGCGUGGGUGAAGAAGGCACUCGGGUGGUAAAGCCCUUUUGUUGGGAAAGAAAAGCAGGAGGUUAAUACCCCGCUGUUCUGACGGUACCCAAAGAAUAAGCACCGGCUAACUUAGUG
rnacentral:rRNA from 1 species